rnacentral:rRNA from 1 species
CAAUAGCGUAUAUUAAAGUUGUUGCAGUUAAAAAGCUCGUAGUUGGACCUUGGACCUGGACAGGCGGUCCGCCUCACGGCGAGUACUGUCUUGCUGGGUCUUUCCUCUUGGUGAUCUGUUGUUUCGGCAGCAGGGAACCAGGACCUUUACUUUGAAAAAAUUAGAGUGUUCAAAGCAGGCUCGACGCCGGAAUAUAUUAGCAUGGAAUAAUAAAAUAGGACGUGCGGUUCUAUUUUGUUGGUUUUUGGAAUCGCCGUAAUGAUUAAUAGGGACAGUCGGGGGCAUUAGUACUCACAUGCUAGAGGUGAAAUUCUUGGAUUUUGUGAAGACUAACUUCUGCGAAAGCAUUUGCCAAGGAUGUUUUCGUUAA